UACGGGGGGGGUAAGCGUUGUUCGGAAUUACUGGGCGUACAGGGCUCGUAGGCGGCCAACUAAGUCAGACGUGAAAUCCCUCAGCUUAACUGGGGAACUGCGUCUGAUACUGGAUGGCUUGGAUUCGGGAGAGGAAUGCGGAAUUCCAGGUGUAGCGGUGAAAUGCGUAGAUAUCUGGAGGAACACCGGUGGCGAAGGCGGCAUUCUGGACCGACAUUGAUGCUGAGGAGCGAAAGCCAGGGGAGCAAACGGG
rnacentral:rRNA from 1 species